rnacentral:misc_RNA from 1 species
GAUGAAGAACGCAGCGAAAUGCGAUAAGUAAUGUGAAUUGCAGAAUUCCGUGAAUCAUCGAAUCUUUGAACGCAUAUUGCGCCCUCUGGCAUUCCGGGGGGCAUGCCUGUCCGAGCGUCAUUUCAACCCUCAGGGCCCCUUCGGGGGACCUGGCGUUGGGGAUCGGCCCGCCCCCGUGCGGCGCCGUCCCCGAAAUAUAGUGGCGGUCUCGCUGCAGCCUCCCCUGCGUAGUAGCACACCUCGCACUGGAGAGCGGCGCGGCCACGCCGUGAAACCCCCAACUUCUGAAUGUUGACCUCGGAUCAGGUAGGAAUACCCGCUGAACUUAAGCAUAUCAAUAAGCGGAGGA